rnacentral:rRNA from 1 species
AGGGUUCGAUCAUGGCUCAGGAUGAACGCUAGCGGCAGGCCUAACACAUGCAAGUCGAACGGUAACAGGGAUUGCUUGCAAUCCGCUGACGAGUGGCGCACGGGUGAGUAUCGCGUAUGCAAUCUGCCUUUAACUGAGAGAUAGCCCAGAGAAAUUUGGAUUAAUACCUCAUAAUAUUGUGAUUUGGCAUCACUUCACAAUUAAAGCUUCGGCGGUUAAAGAUGAGCAUGCGUCCUAUUAGCUUGUUGGUAAGGUAACGGCUUACCAAGGCAACGAUAGGUAGGGGGCCUGAAAGGGUGAUCCCCCACACUGGUACUGAGACACGGACCAGACUCCUACGGGAGGCAGCAGUGAGGAAUAUUGCGCAAUGGAGGAAACUCUGACGCAGCCAUGCCGCGUGCAGGAAGACGGCCCUACGGGUUGUAAACUGCUUUUAUAUAGGAAGAAACACCGAUACGUGUAUCGGCUUGACGGUACUAUAUGAAUAAGGACCGGCUAACUCCGUGCCAGCCGCCGCGGUAAUAC